rnacentral:rRNA from 1 species
UAAGCGACUAAGCGUACACGGUGGAUGCCCUGGCAGUCAGAGGCGAUGAAGGACGUGCUAAUCUGCGAUAAGCGUCGGUAAGGUGAUAUGAACCGUUAUAACCGGCGAUUUCCGAAUGGGGAAACCCAGUGUGAUUCGUCACACUAUCAUUAACUGAAUCCAUAGGUUAAUGAGGCGAACCGGGGGAACUGAAACAUCUAAGUACCCCGAGGAAAAGAAAUCAACCGAGAUUUCCCCAGUAGCGGCGAGCGAACGGGAGCAGCCCAGAGUCUGAAUCAGUGUGUGUGUUAGUGGAAGCGUCUGGAAAGGCGCGCGAUACAGGGUGACAGCCCCGUACACAAAAAUGCACAUGCUGUGAGCUCGAUGAGUAGGGCGGGACACGUGGUAUCCUGUCUGAAUAUGGGGGGACCAUCCUCCAAGGCUAAAUACUCCUGACUGACCGAUAGUGAACCAGUACCGUGAGGGAAAGGCGAAAAGAACCCCGGCGAGGGGAGUGAAAAAGAACCUGAAACCGUGUACGUACAAGCAGUGGGAGCCUCUUUUAUGGGGUGACUGCGUACCUUUUGUAUAAUGGGUCAGCGACUUAUAUUCUGUAGCAAGGUUAACCGAAUAGGGGAGCCGAAGGGAAACCGAGUCUUAACUGGGCGUUAAGUUGCAGGGUAUAGACCCGAAACCCGGUGAUCUAGCCAUGGGCAGGUUGAAGGUUGGGUAACACUAACUGGAGGACCGAACCGACUAAUGUUGAAAAAUUAGCGGAUGACUUGUGGCUGGGGGUGAAAGGCCAAUCAAACCGGGAGAUAGCUGGUUCUCCCCGAAAGCUAUUUAGGUAGCGCCUCGUGAAUUCAUCUCCGGGGGUAGAGCACUGUUUCGGCAAGGGGGUCAUCCCGACUUACCAACCCGAUGCAAACUGCGAAUACCGGAGAAUGUUAUCACGGGAGACACACGGCGGGUGCUAACGUCCGUCGUGAAGAGGGAAACAACCCAGACCGCCAGCUAAGGUCCCAAAGUCAUGGUUAAGUGGGAAACGAUGUGGGAAGGCCCAGACAGCCAGGAUGUUGGCUUAGAAGCAGCCAUCAUUUAAAGAAAGCGUAAUAGCUCACUGGUCGAGUCGGCCUGCGCGGAAGAUGUAACGGGGCUAAACCAUGCACCGAAGCUGCGGCAGCGACGCUUAUGCGUUGUUGGGUAGGGGAGCGUUCUGUAAGCCUGUGAAGGUGUGCUGUGAGGCAUGCUGGAGGUAUCAGAAGUGCGAAUGCUGACAUAAGUAACGAUAAAGCGGGUGAAAAGCCCGCUCGCCGGAAGACCAAGGGUUCCUGUCCAACGUUAAUCGGGGCAGGGUGAGUCGACCCCUAAGGCGAGGCCGAAAGGCGUAGUCGAUGGGAAACAGGUUAAUAUUCCUGUACUUGGUGUUACUGCGAAGGGGGACGGAGAAGGCUAUGUUGGCCGGGCGACGGUUGUCCCGGUUUAAGCGUGUAGGCUGGUUUUCCAGGCAAAUCCGGAAAAUCAAGGCUGAGGCGUGAUGACGAGGCACUACGGUGCUGAAGCAACAAAUGCCCUGCUUCCAGGAAAAGCCUCUAAGCAUCAGGUAACAUCAAAUCGUACCCCAAACCGACACAGGUGGUCAGGUAGAGAAUACCAAGGCGCUUGAGAGAACUCGGGUGAAGGAACUAGGCAAAAUGGUGCCGUAACUUCGGGAGAAGGCACGCUGAUAUGUAGGUGAAGCGACUUGCUCGUGGAGCUGAAAUCAGUCGAAGAUACCAGCUGGCUGCAACUGUUUAUUAAAAACACAGCACUGUGCAAACACGAAAGUGGACGUAUACGGUGUGACGCCUGCCCGGUGCCGGAAGGUUAAUUGAUGGGGUCAGCGCAAGCGAAGCUCUUGAUCGAAGCCCCGGUAAACGGCGGCCGUAACUAUAACGGUCCUAAGGUAGCGAAAUUCCUUGUCGGGUAAGUUCCGACCUGCACGAAUGGCGUAAUGAUGGCCAGGCUGUCUCCACCCGAGACUCAGUGAAAUUGAACUCGCUGUGAAGAUGCAGUGUACCCGCGGCAAGACGGAAAGACCCCGUGAACCUUUACUAUAGCUUGACACUGAACAUUGAGCCUUGAUGUGUAGGAUAGGUGGGAGGCUUUGAAGUGUGGACGCCAGUCUGCAUGGAGCCGACCUUGAAAUACCACCCUUUAAUGUUUGAUGUUCUAACGUUGACCCCUAAUCGGGGUUGCGGACAGUGUCUGGUGGGUAGUUUGACUGGGGCGGUCUCCUCCUAAAGAGUAACGGAGGAGCACGAAGGUUGGCUAAUCCUGGUCGGACAUCAGGAGGUUAGUGCAAUGGCAUAAGCCAGCUUGACUGCGAGCGUGACGGCGCGAGCAGGUGCGAAAGCAGGUCAUAGUGAUCCGGUGGUUCUGAAUGGAAGGGCCAUCGCUCAACGGAUAAAAGGUACUCCGGGGAUAACAGGCUGAUACCGCCCAAGAGUUCAUAUCGACGGCGGUGUUUGGCACCUCGAUGUCGGCUCAUCACAUCCUGGGGCUGAAGUAGGUCCCAAGGGUAUGGCUGUUCGCCAUUUAAAGUGGUACGCGAGCUGGGUUUAGAACGUCGUGAGACAGUUCGGUCCCUAUCUGCCGUGGGCGCUGGAGAACUGAGGGGGGCUGCUCCUAGUACGAGAGGACCGGAGUGGACGCAUCACUGGUGUUCGGGUUGUCAUGCCAAUGGCACUGCCCGGUAGCUAAAUGCGGAAGAGAUAAGUGCUGAAAGCAUCUAAGCACGAAACUUGCCCCGAGAUGAGUUCUCCCUGACCCUUUAAGGGUCCUGAAGGAACGUUGAAGACGACGACGUUGAUAGGCCGGGUGUGUAAGCGCAGCGAUGCGUUGAGCUAACCGGUACUAAUGAACCGUGAGGCUUAACCU